UACGUAGGUGGCAAGCGUUAUCCGGAAUUAUUGGGCGUAAAGCGCACGUAGGCGGAUAUUUAAGUCAGGGGUGAAAUCCCAGAGCUCAACUCUGGAACUGCCUUUGAUACUGGGUAUCUGGAGUAUGGAAGAGGUGAGUGGAAUUCCGAGUGUAGAGGUGAAAUUCGUAGAUAUUCGCAAGAACACCAGUGGCGAAGGCGGCUCACUGGCCCGAUACUGACGCUGAGGCACGAAAGCGUGGGGAGCAAACAGG
rnacentral:rRNA from 1 species